GUUUCCUGGAGGGAGAUCCCCCCAGGUUGUCUUUCUGCCUCCUUCCCUCACCAGGGCCCUCCUGUGGGUCCAGGCAUCCCUGCUACAGGGACAGCCUCACUUUCACAGUCCCAGGCCCACCCCGGGGAAGGGCCGCUGAUUAGACCUUGGGCUGUUCCCACCCACACUCCAAUCUGAGGCCGGAGGCACUGUCAGACGGCCCCUCCAUCCUCGCCAGCUCUCCCCGCUGUGUAUUACCCUGCAGACAGAGGAAAAUGACAGAUUUCCUCAUUUCCUGCUAAACGAUUCCGUGCUGAUUCAGACAGUUUCAACGCCACAGCAGUGCAUUGAGGAAAAGGGGGGGAAAAGACCCAGAAUAGAAGAGCAAGCGCUUAUCAACCGUUGUGAGGAUCUCCCCACAUAUGAGCCAGAGGGCAGGAUGGCCAAACAGGUUGUGAUGCCUGAAAGACACGCCGGGGAGAGUCGUGCUCUGGGGAGGACUUUGUCUUGCAUCUUCUUUCUGGCUGAGGGCAGCGACGGGGACUCCUCCCUGUGCUUCUGCUUCUAGCGCUUUGCCACUUCUGAAGCUCUCUCGCCACCCUGGGACACCUCCAGCUGCAGCCCAAACUCCUUUCCUGCUUUAUGCAGUCAAACUCAGCCUUCAAGGAAUAAUCCCUAUUUCUUUAAUCCCUUCCAGGUCACACCAAUUCACCUCAAAAUGCGCAUGUUCCUUCUCUGUUCUCCCCAACUUUAACUUUUAAUUUAAUGUAACUAAUUAAGCUGAGCAGACCGAGCCAGCAGGGUGAUGGUUUGCUUUGUUCUAACUUCCCAGGUAAAGAGUGAUCCCAUGGUGGGACUUCCCUUUCUUCCCUCCAUAUUGUAAAAUGUGUGGUUCUCUUUGCAUGGGGUCUUCUCUUUUUCUUUCUUCCUCCCUGUUCCUACGUAACUCCCCCGGGCAGUAUAGAUCAGUCUUACAAUCACUCCCUCCAUGCUGUCUGCCCUCAUUUAUCACACCAUCUGCCUAGGGCACCCACCCCAGCACCUGCCCCUCAUCUUCAUCACCAGCACCCUUGUAAUUCCUGCUCACUCCCUGGCUGCCCCCCUGGGAAUGGUUCCCUGGGAGCAAGGUUCAACCCCUGUGUAUUGACCACCCCCCCCAA
ensembl:lncRNA